UCCGUGUUAACCACGGCAGUCUCGCAUGAAAAACAACAUGCGACAAGGGUUGCGCUCGUUACCCCACUGAAGGGAACAUUUCACAACACGAGCUGACGGCAACCGUGCAGCACCUGUCUAGCACCCUCGAAGGCUCCCCGGUUUCUCGGGGUGUGCAGCUAGAUUUCAAGCCCUGGUAAGGUUCCUCGCUUAGCAUCGAAUUAAACCACACGCUCCACCGCUUGUGCGGGCCCCCGUCUAUUCCUUUGAGUUUUAGCCUUGCGGCCGUACUACCCAGGCGGUCAACUUAACGCGUUAGCUACGACACUGAGAGGGUCGAUACUCCCAAUGCCUAGUUGACAUCGUUUACGGCGUGGACUA
rnacentral:misc_RNA from 1 species